UACAGAGGGUGCAAGCGUUAAUCGGAUUGACUGGGCGUAAAGGGCGCGUAGGCGGUAAGAUAAGUCGAGUGUUAAAAACCCGAGCUCAACUUGGGGAGUGCAUUCGAAACUAUCUCACUAGAGUACAGUAGAGGAGAGCGGAAUUUCCGGUGUAGCGGUGAAAUGCGUAGAUAUCGGAAGGAACACCAGUGGCGAAGGCGGCUCUCUGGACUGAAACUGACGCUGAGGCGCGAAAGCGUGGGGAGCAAACAGGAUUAGAUACCCCCGUA
rnacentral:rRNA from 1 species